AGAAGUUGGUCUAAUUGGAUAAGGCAUAAAUUUCCUAAAUUUUAAAUAUGGGUUCGAGUCCCGUACUUCUUA
rnacentral:tRNA from 1 species